GGGAGGGAGAGAGGCGAAGCCUUGCCGGAUUUUCGAGCCGGCGACUGCAGAGCUCAACACCAUGGCCUCCUCAGGAUCCACCUACAUUCCACGGAGUAAGGUGAGGGAAACAGUCCCC